rfam:Triticum aestivum genome assembly, contig: Triticum_aestivum_CS42_TGACv1_scaffold_034664_1BL
CAUAUACUCCCUCCGUCCGAAAAAAUUUGUCCUUUAAAUGAAUGUACCUAGCACCAAGUUAGUGCUAGAUAUAUCCAUUUAAGGAACAAGCUUGGGACAAGCUUUUCCAGACGGAGGGAGUAUUUU